CCCCUAGCCGCCACCAGCCAUUUUCCAGCAGCCCUUCUUCCCCACGGCAGUAGCUUCUCCCUCACGCGCAGCAGGAAGCUCGGCUCCCUUCCUCCCAUGGCGCCCAGGCCUGCUCCUCCCCUCGGCCAGCCAUGGUGCGGUGCCCCCUGCCCCUCUUCUUCUUCCUCCAGCAGCAGACCACCAGCGCCCCUUCUUCCGUCUCUGUUCCUGGCACAGCGCGCAGGGAGCCGUGCUCCCCUCCAUGGCGAGCAGCAAGCUGGCGCCCCUGCUCCUUCUUCCUCGGCGCUGAAGCUCCUCCCUGGCGUCCAUGGCGCCGGCGUAUCUCCAGCUCGUCCCUCUCCUCCCCUCUGUUUUCCUGUGCGUGCGCAGAGCUUCCAUGGCCGGCGCCCCAAGCUCCAGCCCUUCCCUGCUCCUUGCUGGCGAGCAGCGCAGCAACUCACCCAUGGAUGGCGCCCAGAAAACUCCAGCCGGCUCCCCUCUUCCUCCUCCCCUAUUUCUUCCUCAAGCCAGCAGGCCAUUCCCUCUGCAGUCCAGAGCGCGACGAGCUUCUCUCGCCCCUGCCAGCAGCACGCCAUGGCCGGAUCUGCCCCCUCCAUGGGCGUCCCUUGCUAUUCCCUGCGCCCAGCUCUCUCUAUCCAGCACGCCCCAUUUUCUUCCAUGGAAAAACCAGCAGCGAGCCCCCUCCUCGCUGUCCUCCGUGGUGCCCGCCGGCUGUUCGAGAAAUUGUGCAGCAAGCCGCAUGCUGCCGGCUCGCUGUUUGGUGGAGCCAUUGGACAGCACGCCGUGAUGCCGCCGUGAGUUCACUGUUUUUGCGCAGCCCCGAACAUCGACGUCGUUCACCUCGGAGAGAACCACGUGUUUUGCGUGGAGAAGAAGGCAAGCCGCUCGACGCUCGUCGAUGUGUGGAGCAAUGCACAAAGCCGAAUCGCCAUCGUCCUCACAAACACCGUUUGGUUUUGUUUAUGGACCGAGAGAUGAUGAUCGAGCUAGUGAUGUGGUGCCAACCACAAGGUGCAGUUGGUGGACGACCUGAAGAAUGAUGGACAUAACUAGUAGAUGCUCGCCAAGCGAGUACCCUCCCCCAGCAAACACUAUCUAAGUGUUAAAUUAAAGGUACUCCUUAGGAUGAUUGGUUGAUGGUGUGACUUGGCCUUCAUCCCUGCCACCGGGAUAGACGGUCGAGUGGGUUAUUGCUUCCGCAGGAGAGGACCAGGAGGAGUAGCGUGGCCAGGCUUCGCCAUGUUACUCGGUUUUCUCCGUUAGUUAUUUCCGCUGCAUUAAAAUUUAUGGAUGGCAGCUAGGCAGCAUCGCGGGC
rnacentral:misc_RNA from 1 species